rnacentral:rRNA from 1 species
UACCAGCUCUUCGAGUGGUGUGGAUGUUCAUUGGGCCUAAAGCAUCCGUAGCUGGCUGGGCAAGUCCCCUGUUAAAUCCACCGAUUUAAUCGUUGGAGUGCGGGGGAUACUGUUCGGCUAGGGGACGGAAGAGGCAGACGGUAUUUUCGGGGUAGGGGUGAAAUCCUAUAAUCCCGAGAAGACCACCAGUGGCGAAGGCUGUCUGCUAGAACGCGCCCGACGGUGAGGGAUGAAAGCUGGGGGAGCGAACCGGAUUAGAUACCCGGGUAGUCCCAGCUGUAAACGAUGCAGGCUAGGUGUUUGGACGGCCACGUGCCGUUCUAGUGCCGCAGGGAAGCCGUUAAGCCUGCCGCCUGGGGAGUACGGCCGCAAGGCUGAGACUUAAAGGAAUUGGCGGGGAGCACCACAAGGGGUGAAGCUUGCGGUUU